rnacentral:rRNA from 1 species
CCUACGGGUGGCUGCAGUGGGGAAUAUUGGACAAUGGGCGCAAGCCUGAUCCAGCCAUGCCGCGUGUGUGAAGAAGGUCUUCGGAUUGUAAAGCACUUUAAGUUGGGAGGAAGGGUUGUAGCUUAAUACGCUGUAACUUUGACGUUACCGACAGAAUAAGCACCGGCUAACUCUGUGCCAGCAGCCGCGGUAAUACAGAGGGUGCAAGCGUUAAUCGGAAUUACUGGGCGUAAAGCGCGCGUAGGUGGUUCAGUAAGAUGGGUGUGAAAUCCCCGGGCUCAACCUGGGAACUGCUUUCAUAACUGCUGAGCUAGAGUACGGUAGAGGGUAGUGGAAUUUCCUGUGUAGCGGUGAAAUGCGUAGAUAUAGGAAGGAACACCAGUGGCGAAGGCGACUACCUGGACUGGUACUGACACUGAGGUGCGAAAGCGUGGGGAGCAAACAGGCUUAGAUACCCCUGUAGUC